UUCGUCUAACAAAACCAAAAUACAAAGCUUCCGGAAAAAAAUGUGCCAAAAGAACAAAAUUAUCAAUUAUUGUAGGCUUAAUGAGUACAUUUGUCUCUGUGCACUUGUUUGACAGUAGGAACCUCAAGUUAUCCCAAUUAAGUAACUAUGCUUCACUAUUACGACAUCUCAUUUUCCAUUUAGAAGUUAUAUACUACCAAAUUAGGUAAAGAAGUCCUUACCAAAACGUCAAGAGUGAGAGGUGGGGUUGGAGUCUCCGCGCAACGCUCUUCUUUCGUUCGUACUUCAUUUUCUUGCUCUUGAUCAGUCUCUAUUUUGGACUCAGAAACAAUAAUGACCUUGGUAAUUCUGUCAUCAUCAUCUUGUUGGUAUAAAGGAAAGGAAAAAUAGCAUUAAUAGUGAGCAAAGAUAGAUUUAUAUAUCAGUAUGGAAACAAAAAUAUUUACAAGAUCACACCCAUUCUUAACCAGCUAGUUUUCAUGAUAAAUAACUCCUUCGAUUUUAAAAGUACAUUAAAUGAGUAAUGAACUAUAACAAAGGCUUUCAGUGAUUUGGUAAAAGGGGAAAAACAGAAAUUCUUCAGUUGUUGAUGCUUUUAAAAAAAAUCAUCUCAGUUUCAAGAAAACCAUAAUAUAAUACUGUGAAUAAUUCAUAGUUUACAAGUAAUUCUCUGCACAAAUUUUAAGAAAAUUCUCUUUGAGAAUUAGCUCACCGCUAGAACUAUCAUUGCUACCACCACCACCACUGCCACUUCCGAUUCUUUUAUCAACAGGAAUUACUGCUGCUAUGUUCCACAUUUUGUUUGAUGUUCUAGCCUCUAAUGUAACCGCACCACAGAGAAUUACAAAAUAAUACCUCAUAAAUUAAAAAAUGUGUAUAUACAACUCAAAUCAAAUCCAACACCUACCAGAUUUGAGUACUAUACUAAGAACACAAUAUCAUUAAUUUUCCUAUAUCAUUCUGAAUUAGAGAAUUUUUUUUACAUAAUUGAGCAAUUCAAAAGUGUAGCAGUAGCUGCAGCUGCAGUUGAUGCCAUAACAUCGCUAUUGAUUGAACAUUCACAGCAGAACUAACCACUACCACUGAUGUAAGAUGCUCGCGCUCAACUCCCAUAGCCUCAAUAGCUUCAACACACUGUAUUGCUACCAAUGUUGAAGCAGAACCAUAGCCAUAUCAGUUUUCGCCAUGUGCUCAUCCUUUCCGCCACCAGAUGAGGCUGUUGUAGCUGCUGCAAUAGAAACAACACCAGCAGCAACUCCUGCAACCGACACAACAGCAUGAAGUUGUGAAUUAUGUGCCCUCAUCUCCUAUUUUUUCUUCUCCCUCCUAUCCUUUAACCACUUACCCACCAUCUUCCCUUCUUUACCACCACCACCAAUAACAGCCGAGCUAGUAGCAGCAACACUACUCCUGUACUGGUUAUAAAUUGGUACAUUAUUCAGAUGACUGUAUUGAAGAUGACAAAUUAAACUUUUGGAGUCUCAACUGGAAGUCAAAGUUAUGAAAACCUUCGAUAGUUUCUUACCAAGUCAAUUGAGUUGCAUCAGUCAUGCCGACGUCCCGAAGGAACCUGCGAAUUGAAUUGAGAAUCAAGUAAGGAAGGCCAUAAUUUGAUUAUUUGGAGAGAGCAUGAGAGAUGAUAAUAUGGUUUCUUAAAAGGAGAAGAAAAUAUAAAAUUCUGUAGUAUAACGCAAGCUCCGGAAGACAUUGGAGAUGCUUAAGCUAUUUAGAGACAGUUCAGCAAUAGAAAGCUCUUUACAGACUGUCCAGCAAUUAAAAUUAUCUGGCAACUGGAUUAAUGAGGCAUCAACUAAAAAAUCUUUGAAACACCACCAGAACGAUUUCAUUUAUGCUCAAAUCAAAGGUGUAAAUUUUAAAAUGUACAUUCAGCAAUGAGACACUGAGGCUAACUUUUUAGUUGUUACAGGCGAAUAGAUGCACAUAAUUAUGAAAUCCGAACCUAUACGUUCAUGCUUAACGAACUCUUGAAGACUGCAAAACUCGUAAAUACAUGGCUAUCUACUCUAGUUUGAUCAUUCAAAUUAGAAUCUACUGCAUUAAUAAAAGGGUAAAUUACACUAAACACCCCUGUAAAAUAAACUUUCAAAGUUCGGAAAGCUUCAGCAGUAAAUUGAGUUUAGCUACUUAUGGUAAGGUUUACCCAAUUGAAUGGUAGGCAAAUUCGAGUAUUUGUUGGCUUUAUAGGGAAUCAUUUAGGUUAUCGAGCUCAACCUGUUGGGACAAUAAAGAUCAGGUCAACCUUAACUCUAUUAGAUAUCAGUUCAGAAAGGAAGGGAAAAAGAAUGGCUUAGCUCAGUGAAACAAAGCUAGAUCUGUGAAGAAGGAGUUGAAGAAGUCUUCAUGAGGUAUCUAUUUCAUGACAUUGUAUGACGUUGUGAUGUCUUAGGUGAAAUCAGUCCAAACUCAACCCCAAGAUAGAGAUGAGUUAGGUUUCAUGAUGAUAAGCUCGUAACAAACCUCUCCAUAAGCGUUACUCUUCAACGGCGGCCAUGAAUGAUCGACGAAGAUGAAGAGAUCACAGCAUUGAACUUUCCAUCCUCAGCUGUCUGCUUGAUUAUUGAUGGUAGGUGUUAAGUUACGAAAAUACCCUUGAUGUUGGUAUUAUUUACCAAAAUACCCUUCGUCGUAAACCAGAUGCAGGUGUCCCCACAUGUUAAAUCGCGUGAGAUUUAUAUGCAAGAUGCA
rnacentral:lncRNA from 1 species